UUAUUAGUAUAUGUAUAGUAUAUAAAAUAAAAUAGUAUGAAAAUAUCUUAAUUUGCAACGUGUAACUGGCUGCACAUGAGUGCUGUUCAUGUUUAACAGAGAAAUGCAAUUAGAUCAGAUUCUAUAAAGUAUUGGCAGGCUAUACUUUCUGCAGACUUGUCUUCCUGCGACAAGGUUAAAACAAACUCAAACUACAAGCCAAGUAUUUUUCAUAGCAGCACAUUCUAAGAAGAAUUUUUUUUUAAUAUUUACUAAUUAGAUUACUUAUAUUUCGCAAUUUCUUUAAAUUAUUUUUGGAUAUUGUUUAACGGUAUUUUUUACCAAAUUUUGUUUACCAAAGUUUAAAAAAUUAUUUUAUUUAUAGAUUUUUAGUUUUUAAUAAUUAGUUUUUAUUCAUUUUAUUUAUAGUUAUAAUAGGACUUUCCAUUUUUUGUAAUAAUUUUUUUGCAAAUAUGAAUUUGAUAUUAUGUUAUUGUGAGAGUCUCAAGAUAUAAAUAAAAAAUGGUAGGAUGAGCCAAACCUACUAUGAUCCA